ensembl:lncRNA
CACGUGUCUAUUCCCACGAUGGAUGUAAUCACUACAUACCGCAAAUACAUACUAAUAAAAAACUUUCAAAGAAAAGUAAACACAAAAUAAAACAAAAUUUAUUUUGAGCACACACACAAAAAAAUCCAAUGUGGCCGUGGGGUGGCGCCCUUGCCAGUGGGGUGGGGAUGGGGGCACAGAUCUGCACCCAAGGAGAAGGUCCGCUGAGGGCUGAGGCAGGAGACACCCUGGAGAGGCCCAGCAGGCAGACCCAGGUGCUCAGCCCGGGCGGUUCCCUAGCCAGAGCCGCAGACGCCGACCCGGAGGCGGCAGAGCCCUAAGCACCUGGAAAGCUGUCAGCCAGACCGUCACCGGGGGAGACAGCACGGUCCUGCAACACGACCUCGGGUCCCGGGAUACGACUCAGAGUGGGGCAGGAUUUUUCCAAGCAAGGAACUGCAAGGCCCCUGCCCGCUCCCGAAACAGCGGUGAAGGGUGAGGGGGACCCCUGAAAGGCUGCACGCCCGCGGGACGCAGAGCGGCCUCGUCCUGAGCGGGCCCGGAGCUCGAGGCCAGCACGCGCGGGCGCAGCCUGGCGCUCUGGGCCCCGCGCGGAAACCGAAGAGGAAAAGAAAAAGUUGUGCAAAUGUCCUGCAUGUGAAUCUACACAGAAAGCCAGAGAGCACUGGACGAGGGAGCCCCCCGGGAGACCCGGCGCGCCCCGUACCCUCUGUGCGUGGGGUUGGCUUGCCCGUAACGUACUUCGAGCUGUCGGAAAGCGAGGCCGCGGACGUGACUUCCGGCUUCCAGGCCGGCCCGCGCGGAAUCGGGGACGCGAGCGAGCACCGCGGGAAGGCUGGCCGCCGAACUGCGCAGGCGCAGGGGCCCGGCUGCACCUCCGCGGAGCCGCCACGCGGGGGCAGCCGUGAGCCACGGGAGGCCCGAGCGCCCCGAGAACCGGGCCGGUACAGGCCGGCUGCGAGCGCCGAGGCAGCGGAGAGGACGACUCGCGCGUCUCCAGCUGGACGUGGCGAACUCUGGCUCGCAAAAGCUAACUUUCGCCCUAAAUGGGUGAUUUUUCCCUAAAAGGGACAAAGCCCACGCCCUGGUUCCACUGGGGCUCGAACCCAGGACCUUCUGCGUGUAAAGCAGACGUGAUAACCGCUACACUAUGGAACCGCGCGCGGAAAGUGGACCGGAAUCUGGUCAUUUAACGGGCGCCCGGUGACGCCCUGCGCGGGUCGGACGCGGGGUGCAAUCGCAGGCGGACGCCUCGGGCAGAGCACCCGGCUGCACCUCCAUAUCCAGGACAAAACCCAGCACCCCUAGCUCGCAAAGGAGCCCCGAGCACCCUCAAAAUACCAGCGGGGCCGCCCGUGGUUCCACUGGGGCUCGAACCCAGGACCUUCUGCGUGUAAAGCAGACGUGAUAACCGCUACACUAUGGAACCGCGCGGUGGCCGGCCGCCUCCGGGCGUAAUCAACCCCGCGCGCAGCCCUCGGCCUGCGCCCGCCGGGACCGAGCCGCCCGUGCCCGGCUUCCCCCGCCGCUGCCGCUCAUGCUCCUGCUCCUCGCCCGCCCGGCGCGGCUCCCGGGGCGAGAACGCGCGCCCGCCACGGAGCUGUAGGCGGCUCGGGGCAACCUCCAAGCAUCUGGCUCUGUGGCGCAAUGGAUAGCGCAUUGGACUUCUAGACAAACAAAGACAUUCAAAGGUUGUGGGUUCGAGUCCCACCAGAGUCGCUUUGUUUUGAUGAAGUCGGAUAAAGAAAAUUAAAGUGACAGAAGCCUUUAAUCCGCACUCGGCCGCGCCCUGGUUGGGGACAAAGGCGGUCGCUCCGGCGCGUCGGGCCCCCUCCCGAGGCUCCUCCAUCGCUUUCCCGGGGCUCCGGUUUCUGGGUACUGAACCCAGAGAUCCACGAGAUGCGAUCGAGGAGACGCGGGCUGAGCGUGGCUUUGCUCGUUCUGUUUCCAUGCAACGCUCGCGAUCCGAAUCCAUCCCGAGCUGUUCGGAAACUUCAGUCCGUGUUGCCCGAGUCGCCCGGAAGGAAAACGCCAUCCGGCAGGGUGCCGGGGUGGCCGAAUGGUUAGAGCGUCGGACUUAGGGCUCCGUGGUCUCUGGGGUGCGCGGGUUCGAACCCCACUUCUGGCGGCUCUGUGUUCGCCCUUCGGCGUUCCCUGUUGGGACUUUAGGUGCGCAGACGCCGGGAUCUGGGUCUGAAUCUGAACCCCAGACAGUUCCUUUUCGCCAGAGCAGAGAAUGCGGGACGACUUGAGAAUCCACGGCUGGGAAGGAGCGAAGGCAGCGUCCACCGAAAGCAGACCCGAUCCUCUCCACCGAUGUUGCUGCGCCGCCGCGCAAAGGCCGAGGGGCGGGAGGAGGAGCCGGCCGGCCUGCGGGCGGACGCGCGGGAGGACUGAGGAGGGGCCGGCGCUGCGAGAGGCUUCGGGUGGCCCCGCGGGCCGGCGCGGAGGAACCAAGGCGGCGCCGGGACCACCGGGCUCGGUCCUCAGAACCUUGCAGCACUGAGGACGUGGGUGCUUUGCACGUUUCUCCGCUGAACGCUCAGAAAUCCCAGCCUGAGAAGCUCCGAUCUGAGUGGAACCGGGGAAUCCCAAAGCGCGGGAUAACCUGACAGAUAGCGUGUCCCGCCUGCCUCCGGAGAAGGCGGGGCAAAGCGCUUAAGAACCCGGGGGCCGGGGGGUCGCGGUGGAUCCGGCCCCUCGCCUCGCAGGAUCACAGCCCUUCCGUGGCGCCUUUGCCAGACAGGCGGAGGGCGGUACCGGCCCGCAGGGCCCGGGGAGCUCAGUCGAUAGAGCAUCAAACUUUUAAUCUGAGAGUCCAGGGUUCGAGUCCCUGUUUGGGCGAAGCCUAUUUUAAAAUCCACACUCGCUUUUCCGGAGUCCCGAGCGAGCCCCGGGUGUUGGGGGAAACCCGGCUGGGCCCAGGCUGGGAGUUCAGAGAUGGGGCGAGACGCAGCCGGCUUUGCAGAUUGCUUUGUAUCAGUUUUCCCUAUGAACUGACAUGCAGUACUUUUCUGUUCAAAAAACCAAUGCCCCGUGGCCUGUUGUCAGGAUGUGCUGCUUCGCGUCCGCAAGUAUUAAACCACGGAGCUCAGGAGAAGCCAGGGCUAAGGCCCUGGCCGCCUGUGAAUCCGGGGAAAGACCCAUGUUGGGGGCCGGCUUCGCGUCUGUCGCUGCGGGGCACCGGCAACCUGCCGAGACCUGGGACCGAACCUAGGACCUUUUAAUCUUCAGUCUGACGCUCUCCCAACUGAGCUAUUUCGGCAGGGACGAACGCUUCCUUGCACGUGCCUAGGGGAAUUUGAAACAGAAAGAAUUCGUUUCCCUUCUCUCCAACUUUUCCUCCAAAUGUUGCCUCCCGGAGCGCCCUGCUUUGAGCUGUGAGGCUGGAGAACAGCGGGGAGCAAGGAGGCCCGGCCUGGCCGCCCUUCACCGCCCCAGGCCGGCGGUGCCCAACCCCGCCCUGCUGCAGCAGCGGCCGGGCUCCGCUCCAAAGGCCGCGCAGUGCCGCCGAACGGAGAGCGCCUCUCGUCCGCGCCCGGACAGGCCGGCCGCAAGGUCGGGGCUGAGACAGAGCGACCACCACGGCUGGAGGCCUGGAGGAGGAGGAGGAGGAGGACCGGGUAGGGGCGCUCGGGCGCACUCCGGCUCUGCCUCUCGUCCCGGAGCCCCGACUUGGCCCCCGCUGUCACCCGCAGACGUGCGCGGCGCCCCCAGGCCUCGGCGCGGCCGUGCGGACAUCGGCCCCGGGGCAAGGUGGCCACCGAGGAUCCGAACACGGCUUUCUCUAAAUGCCGCCGACACAGGUACCCCCAACACCGGUUCUCAUGGUGCAAAAAUAACUUAAAAAGCAGCUGCACCACGAACAGGGACUCGAACCCUGGACCCUCAGAUUAAAAGUCUGAUGCUCUACCGACUGAGCUACCCGGGCUCACAACGUGUUCUUCUGCUCCAGUGCCUUAAGAGUGCUCCGCUUCUCUGCGAACCUGCAGACGCCUUCCCGGUGGAUUCUGGACCCCGCCCCGCCCGCGAUCCCCUCGGUUCCGAAGCCGCGAGCCGCGCAGAGGGACUACACGCAGCCAGCGAGGGGAGGCACCCAUCUGGGCCGGGCUGCGGAUGCAGAUCUGGACGCUGAGACCCCGCCCCGAAAGAUGAGGCUGCGCCCCGCCCGGCCGCGAGCAGGAGGAGCCAAGGGUCCCAGCCGCAGCGCACGGCCAAGGCCGGGACCCGAGGGCAGCCACGUCCCAGUCCGCAAGCCGAGAAACGGACAAGGAGUGAAGCGAUCCCGGUCACGCCCACCGAAGGGUACGCCCUCGGCCACACCCCACCCACGGCCGGCCUCUCGGCCUCCCUCGCCCCGCCCAUAGCCGGCCCCGCGCACGCGCAGCUGGGGCCUCGGUCCGCCCCAGGACGCACCCGGACACCUCCGGCUUUCGGGCCUGUGCUCUUCCCGGGCUAGCUGGAUGUCACCUCCCUUUCUGUUCCCUUGCCCUCCUUCCUCCCAGCACCUGACUCUCGUAAUAAAAGAAUAGAAAGAGAAAAACAAGUGUAUGAACGUGUGUCUCAUGUACAGAAAGGGAGAUGCCAGGAAAUGAGUCAUUCUUAAAGACGCGGAGGGCUUGGAACUCCAGUUUGUACGGCAUCGUCAGAAAACAAAAUUUGGGGCGCGAUGACGACGCCAGGAAAACCUCGGGUUUCCAGGGACAGCCAGAUGACUCGGCCCGGGACCUGCGGCCUCCGGCAGCCCCAGCACGCCUCGCUGCGACUCCGCUCCGCGCUGAGAACGGCUAGGGCUUCGAGGGCAAAGGCCCAGGUUUCCAGGGGCGACUCCCCCCGUGAGGCCGAGGUGGACGAUCUCGAGGCUGAGGGCAGCAGUGCAGUCUCGCUCCCCCCUUCCUGGGUAAAACACGCUAUCCGGCUUCCCCAGAAACAGGACCAGUGAGGUACAGGUAGCCUAUUCGGUGGGACUCCCGGGAAACAGAAACCAUAGCCUCCUCGAGUCACCUGGAACAGAGGAGAUGGCAUGGCACAGCACCUGGGGCCUCUCGCCCUCAGAAUUGCGUGGAUGGGAAUUCGGUGUGCAGCGCUGGAAAACUGGCACCGGAGUACAUCUUACCCUGGGCUAGGUACGUGGAUCUAAUCGUCCACUGGUCACUUGUCUACUUGUGCAUGAUGUGGGCGAGACAGUUUGUUCUUACUCAUAUUAGAGAUAGAACGGCAUAGUAACUGUGAGGGAGGCCCAGAACACACAUGCACACACACACCAGUCAUCUGAGUGAUUUUACUCUGCCCUUUCUCUGUCUUCUAGUCUCAGUGUUCACACAAAUGGAGCUACUGCAUAUAAAAACCC